GACGAACGCUGGCGGCGUGCUUAACACAUGCAAGUCGAACGGAAAGGCCCUGCUUUUGUGGGGUGCUCGAGUGGCGAACGGGUGAGUAACACGUGAGUAACCUGCCCUUGACUUUGGGAUAACUUCAGGAAACUGGGGCUAAUACCGGAUAGGAGCUCCUGCUGCAUGGUGGGGGUUGGAAAGUUUCGGCGGUUGGGGAUGGACUCGCGGCUUAUCAGCUUGUUGGUGGGGUAGUGGCUUACCAAGGCUUUGACGGGUAGCCGGCCUGAGAGGGUGACCGGCCAAAUUUGGGCCUGGGUACGGCCCAGACCCCUUCCGGGGGGAAGAAUGGGGGAUAAUUCAACAAUGGCGGAAGCCUGGAGCAGCAACGCCGCGUGCGGGAUGACGGCCUUCGGGUUGGAAACCGCCUUCGCCUGGUACGGAGCGGGAGGGGCGGGAAAGGGGAAAGGAGGACCGGGUUACUUCGGU
rnacentral:rRNA from 1 species